UUAGUCUUUCCUCCAUCCGCGCCGCCGCGUCCUCGUCUCCUCCUCCAUCCGCGCGCCUCGGCGGCGACCCCAUGGAGGGCGGCCGGGUCGGAGCGGUCCCCGCGUCCCUCCUUCCCCGCUCGGCGCUCUCUACUCCACUCUUCCCAUCUCGCUAGAGCCGCCGCAUCCGGAGGCGACCGGCGUUGCUCCAUCUCGACCUGCCCGUAACCUUCUCUCCCCGCAGCGGGCGGAGAAGAUGGAGAGGAGCUCGUCCGCCCACCUUCCACCAUGGUUUGCAGCGGCCGGAGAAGAUGGAGAGGCCGAACUGCGGCUGCCUCGUGUGCGCUCUCCUGCAUCUCGCGCGGGAGCGAGUGGUGGUGACUAGCAUAGAAGGCGGAGGAGGUCAUUGGGGCCGGCUUCCCUUCCGUUUUGGCUGCCAAGCUCCACGCGUUGCUGAGUCCCUCUCUCUAUCCCUCUACAUCUCUCCCUCUCUCUGUCAGAGGGCAGCUGCCGCCCCGAGGUGCAGGCGGCCAUGGAAAAGCACAAGAUGCCACACCUGGCUUUCCCCCUUGCCUCCUGCCCUUUCUCUUCAGCUCAUCUAUUUACAUGUGCAAAUACUUUUUUAUCUAUGCCUGCAAGGUGUUUGAUGAAAGUUCAGUAAGGCUGUGAGGGAAUACCAAACGAGAGAGGAUCCAGUAUCUGUUACAUGCAUCAGAUAUAGAUUGCAGUCAAGACACCUGCUCCCUCGUCAUCGACGGAAGGAGGAGAGCAGCAGCCACAACAGGCGACAGUGCUGGCGAAUGCGUCAGACAUGAGUCGCUUCGGCUUCUUCCAGCGGCCCAGCCAUGACGCCCUCAAGCCGCCGAUAGCAGCGGCCCUCUCCCAAGCUACACUGCUCCUGAUCUUCGUCGCCCCACACCGUCGUACUAUGCACAGCUCAGCCUGGCCAUGAUGCUCUUAGCCCGCGGACGCUCACAGCGUAACCGACGGUGGCGACUCACUCCCAACCCGUGUUGCUCUCCAUCAGUGCUGACGGAUUAGUUUGUUUUACAGUGUGGGCACCAGGUCUCUGAGUAGUUUAAAUCUGAACGCAACACCAAGGCUGCCAGCCUGAGCAUUGCCGAACAGUACAGCAAAGCAUUUUCUGAACUUGCUAAAAGCAAACAUGGAAGCUCUCCCUAAUUCAUUGAUUAAAGGGAGGCAGGGGAGUUCCAGUUUGUGAGGACAGUGGCGACAUGGUUGACUGAAUGGCAAUAGGAAGAAGGCACAUCUCAUAUAAUUGUUUUAUUCAAGACAAGUCUACACUCUCUUAUGUCAAAUUUGCACAGAUUUCCCUUCCCUAGGCUAUUUCUAAGGGGGAGAGAAGAGUGUUAUUUUUUGGGGGGGAUUACAAAGAAUGGUAGCGCAUGAGGAGUAUUAGCCACGGAGGAGGGAGGAGACUGACAUGAGGAAAACAUAUUCUGGAUCGAUUUGGUUCUCAUGGUUUGGUACUAAUUUCUCAAAAAAAUCAUGCUUUUGCAGCACCGUCCUGUUGAGCCAUGAGAUCUGAACCAAGGAAUCCAGAUAACAUCGACUAUGUUUAUAGAUCACUACAUGUUCUGUUGGAACAUUGUUUGCUACUAAAUUCUCAAAAAAGAAACGUUCUUAUGCAUCACCGUCAUGUGGAACCACGAUACCUGAACCAAUGAACUCAGUGAACAUUUAUUAUAUUUAUUAUGGAUCAUUACAUGUUCUGCUGGAACAAGUUGUUGCAGCGGCACAAACUCGGUUGCGUCCGCUAUGACCCCAAUCUUCGGAUUAUUAUAAGUAGAGGUUGAUCGUGUAGGAGGUGAAGAUGCUCACGCCUAAAGCCAAACUUGACGCCGUCGACGCCACCAUCCGGGAGCUCAUUUAUAUUGGCUUCGAAUGGCUACCGUUGUAUUUUCUGUACUUUUGGUUGUGGUCGUAAUUGUUACCCUGUGCCUUUGCAAGAAUAACUGAAAAUGGUGAUUUCUAUUGACUGUAAACCGAGUACUUGUCUAAUUAUUGUUCAAGAAAAUAUAGUGAGUCGUGUUCUUGGUUGCUAAUAGUAUAGUACACCUAUGCGGAUCCUUCUGUCGGACCGUUGAAUGGAAAUAACUCAAAAGAAGAUAAUAGAGAUGUUGUCUCUAUGCAAUCGGUAACUGUCAGUUCAGUUACAAAGAACGACCAUCACAAAUAACUUUGAGAUGUCCAUUGGUAAAGGUCAGUUUGGAGUAGUCUAUUUUGGCUACUUGGAAGAUGGAACCCCAGUUGCAGUCAAAACACGCUUAGAAUCAUCAUCUCAUGGGGUUAAUGAGUUCUUGGCAGAGGCUCUACAUCUAAUAAGAGUUCAUCACAGGAACUUGGUCAAUCUGGUUAGCCACUACAAGGAUGGACACCACUCAACUCUUGUCUACGAGUAUAAAUUGCUAAUUUGCAUUGCUCUUUCGUGCAACAAGUGCGUUGAUACUUACAAACAACGAGGCAUGUGACUAUUUACUAUCACUGUUGUUUGGUAUUUGAACAUGUCUUUUCGAGGGGGAGAUGGGAACAGAUAGACUCAGUGAAAGUUGGCUGCACGUAAACUAUUGUGAUCAAGUUGGAAAAAAAUGUUUCCCCUCUUAACUGCUCCUGUUGGAGACUGGGGUCAGUAGUCACUGAAAUUUGCACACGCAUGGAGGAAUGAAUGAAGAUUCUCAAGUAACGAAGUUGUAGCCUUCACGACAAGAUAAAUGGAUGAUUUUGCAGCUCAAGUGUUGCUACAUGUUACAGAUAACUAUGGCAUUCCAUUUUAAUGAAUCUGCAUAUUGCUGUUGAGCACCGGAAGCGAGGGAGGGCAUGGCUGCACUGGAGGUUGUCCCAAGGCGAGGGCAGGGCAGAGACAUGCAACAAUGAGGGUUGCAACCGUAAUCAAUAUCUCAACGUCGAAUCAUUUCCUAUAGCCUUCCAGCAAGUUCAUUCUUAUUUUCUGAUUGGGUCAUGUUAGGCCAGCAAAGUAAACCUAGAAAAACUGAUUAGGCAAUGAUGUUUUUGUUUAAUUUUAGUGUUUGGUAUUUGUUUCAGAUAUGAAUAAUUCUGGUUAUGGUUUCUGCAUUGCAUAGUGACGUUAUAAUGAGAUUAGAGAUAGUUGUCACGCA